rnacentral:rRNA from 1 species
GCUGGCGGAAUGCUUUACACAUGCAAGUCGAGCGGCAGCGCGGGGCAACCUGGCGGCGAGCGGCGAACGGGUGAGUAAUGCAUCGGAACAUGUCCAUUUGUGGGGGAUAGCCCGGCGAAAGCCGGAUUAAUACCGCAUGAGCCCGAGAGGGGAAAGUGGGGGACCGCAAGGCCUCACGCGAAUGGGUUGGCCGAUGUCCGAUUAGCUAGUUGGUGAGGUAAAGGCUCACCAAGGCGAUGAUCGGUAGCUGGUCUGAGAGGAUGAUCAGCCACACUGGGACUGAGACACGGCCCAGACUCCUACGGGAGGCAGCAGUGGGGAAUUUUGGACAAUGGGGGCAACCCUGAUCCAGCCAUUCCGCGUGAGUGAAGAAGGCCUUCGGGUUGUAAAGCUCUUUUGUCCGGAACGAAACGGUUAGCGUGAAUAUCGCUGACUACUGACGG